GGACUUCACCUCUUCUACCUGGGUAACCGUGCAAAGGCACCAUGAGUUGUUCGGUUUUGGAUCGUCAAUCCUGUCUUUGGCGGUGAUCACCGCUGCGUGAUCAAGAAACCUGUUUCAAAGGAUUUUGCAACUUUGAGUAAGUGUUAUCUUUUUCAUCCAGUUCUUUUAUUGGUUUUGGAGUUUAGAUAGGCAAGUUAAUUCUAGUUUGCGUUUGGGUUGGGGGGGUGUUGAUUCCUUGCAUUUUUUUUUUCUUUUGUUGUUCUGGCUUAUUCAGCUCCUGCAAGCAUGCAAUUGUGCAAAUACUCCUAGAAAGUUGAUACUUGCAUCCAUAUCCGCCGUAUGUAUCUACAUUUGUGUCCCUGCCACGUGAAUAUGUGCAAAUAUCUUUUUUGAAUAGACACCGAAAGUAGGGACUGCCAACGCAAGCAAAUACCGACUUUGCAGGGGUAUUAGUGCAAGUUGGCAUAUUUUCAGGCGUAUAUGCAAAAAAACCCUGGAUUGGCCAAACAGGGCAGAUCAUGCCACAGUUAAAAGCAAUAUUUAAAAGCAAUGAACAUGAUAAAAGUGGAAAAAAGAGUUGUCGUAGGUGUGAAAAUCUAGAGGAUAACAUAGCAAUAACGCAUGUAAUUACCUGAAUCCUUUAGUGUGAAGUAUCUUCCUAGCACCAUGAGUAGUUGUAGUUGUUCCAUGAACCUCGAAUAGCCCAUCGUCAUGCAAUGGGAUCUCAACCGUCGAUUUCCUCCAUGCGGCCACCACCACUUGGAAAAACCUUGAGAUCGGGUUCCCGCUGGCCUUAAACCUCCUAUACCUCAUGGUUCCACUCAAGAACAUUAAGAAAGCAGUCCCUGCACUAGCAGUAGACACCCAAAAUCCUAAUGACCAAUCACCCAAAUUUUGUAUAUAUGCCAAUACAGUUUCUGAUAUUAAUGAUCCCAGGUUUGUGGCAACAUAGAAAUAGCUGUAGAAUGACUGAUUUGAGGAGUUCUCUUGUGAGUUUUGUUCAUCAAAUUGGUCGGAGCCGAAAGUGGCAAGGGAGGGUUCAUAUGCACCAUUGCCUAAGGCUAUUAAAUAAAUGGAAAGGUAGAACAUGGUAAUUUCAAAAGGGGAGUGGGAAUCGCAUAGAAAUCCUAGCUUGCCACAGCCAUGUGGUUUGAGUAGUAGAAAGGAAGUUGUCAUUGAAAGCAUUGCCAAGCCCUGUACAAAGUAGUUAAAGGGAUCAAAUCUCUAUAAGUGAUAUCAUUGUAUUCACAGAAAUAGAAAGUCUUUAAUAGCCUCUGCAUUUUCACAACAAUUACAAAAAUAUAUUUGGAGUCAAUUCUAGUUUCAUGGUGGAUUUUCGUUGCGAUCACGUUGUGUCAUAUUUAUGUUUUAGCUGCAUAUAUAAAGAUGAUCAACAUGAUGCAUUUGAGAGUUUUUUGCAGUGAUUUGUCUCAUAUAACCUACUUCAAACAUUAUCAAAUAAUAGAGGGAUAGAAGUUGUUUACAAUAGCAAAGACAAAUUGGAAGAUGACGCAUGUAGUGUAUCGACCCAAGUAUGCAUCACUCAGAAAAGCACCCAUUAGAGAGAAGAGAUGGACCGUCCCCAUCCACCUACUGAAGGUGUUGGCUGCCUCCGCAUUGGUUUGAUUUAGAACCCGUGUUGCAAAGAGCACCAGGUUCACUUCAACGCCAACAAAGGCUAGAGUAGCGAGUCCAUGAUUCACUGUCAACAAAGAUGCUGCAAAUUAGAGGGAGUUAUUAUGAUGCUUUGAAAGGAGGACACCGGUGGGGGUGUUUUGGUGGGGUGAAGAGGAAAGAGUUACUAUGAAGAUAUGAAAACCAAGAACUUUUAUGAGCAAGGACAUCCCAUUACAGGAAGAACUAGCAACUGAAAUUAAAUGAUUGACCAAUCAAAAUCAGUGAUGGUAAAAGCAGUAGUGAUAAUAAGGCACAUAAACAUUACCCAAAUUGAGAAUAGCCAAGAAAAUGAAAGAAAUAUACAUAGCAAAAGUAACGCUGGCGGCCAACCGCCUUUCUUGUUCCUUAUCUCAGGCUUGUAAUCUCCAUCAAUGGGCUCAUCCUUGAUAUAUCCCUCAGCUACUAUGGUGCUUUCCUGCGUAUAGGAGAAUGACUAGAUGAAAAAUAUAAAUAGAUUAACAAAUGUUACAGAGAAACAGGCAUGUUGGCAAGUGCUGUUUGUAUCUACAUCAUCAGAUGAAACAUUCAGGCAAGGAUGCAUACAUAUUAGGCUGUUUUUCAAACUACAAUAAGAUCAUAGUAUUUUCUUAAAUCAUACCUGUUCCAAACCUUGCUAAUUCAUCAGACUUGCCUAGUCUUAAGAAUAAUAAUUUUCUUCCAUUCACAAAAGAAAUUUUCUUCGAUAGUUAGAUCAUUUGGAAAGAAAAUAUAGUACUAUUUUAUUACAUUUUAUGAUUAUUUCUUACCUUAUUGCUUUUAAGAACCAUCGUGGUUAAACAAGUGCUUAACUUCUCGAGACAGCCAUGUGAGUGCUUAUUGGGAGGGGUAUGUGUGUGUGUCCUUGAGAGAGAGAGAGAGAGCCAUUUAAGUGCUUGUAGGAAGGAGUGCGUGCGUGUGCGCGUGCGCGAUCGACUUUUCCAACUUGUUUCAAGGGGGGGUUGUGUGUGUGUGUGCACAUGAAAGAGAGAGAGGUGCCAUAUGUUGUAUAUAAAGAGAGACAGGGGUCAUAGUAAUAAAUGUUGAAGGUGAGAAAGUAAUCUAGCAUUAAAGGAGUAAAUGACCACUAUAUCAAUGCUUAAGGGAUUUCCUUUUUGUCUUUUGUAUGUCAAAACUGAUGAAGUCAUAGCACGGUAUCAAACUAAAUAUAAGUAUAUCUAGGAAAAUAUAUAUAUAAAGUAUAUCUAGUAAUUCAUUAAUAGCUAUGGUGAAUGAAUGUGCUUAUUUAUCAUUGCAUAUUCAAGUUUUGAACAUAAAAGAUGCUGCUAUUUGGGGCAUAUUGGGCAUGACAAAUGCUGUUUAUGGUGUGCAAUUGCAUGAACAGUAAGCAUUAUAAUCAAAUAAUAAGGGAUAAACUCAACUUCAAUCUGAAAAGGAAAACGGAAAAAUGUAAAUACACCAUUCAUUCUGACUAUUCGUGUUUAAUAUAUCCUUUUUGUUUCUAUAAGAUGCUUUAUGAGCAAUGGAGAACACUGAAUACCGCAACAAAUUAUGCUUUCCUCUAUUUCAUUUCAUGAUUUCUUUUCUUCUUGUGUACUAACAGUUAAAUCAAGAAUUUUACUUUUCAGAACUUAAAAUGAGUAAAACCAUCACCACCGGCAUGAUACCGUAAAAUUUGUGAGCUCAUAACAAAUUUGUGCAUGUUAUUCAGGUCAUUCACAAUGCAUACUCUUCAGUGCUUUCAUCUACUUACAAUUCUUUAUUGCCAACUUAUGCAUUUUAUAGAGAUUACAGAACUGACUCGAGCACAAGCGAUUAAUUGUGUUCUUGUUUGGUAUAUUGCAGGAAAUUUCACAAGUUGAAAAGUGUAAAUUUCAACUACCUCAGAAAUCAUGUUCGCGAGCUCGGAAAGGAUAUUCUCAGAAGUUUUGUACAGUCCUUCUCAAAUGCGCAUCACUGUUCUAAAGGUAUGAUGUAGUCUAAUUUCGGUCCAAAUGCUUUUACUACAAUUACCUGUAUGGAGUAGAUCUUCUUAAUGGUGCUUCAUGAAUGCCACUUCACUGUCAAAAUAAUGGCACAUUAGAUCAUAGAACUUAUCAACAUACAAGGACUAGCAUAAUAGUGCCAACACUGGAGACAGAUUCGGACCUAUUAGGAUAUUUAGAUAUGUUUUUUUAAGGGCAUAUUUUAUAUGAGAAUUAUAAGUAUAAGUAUGUUAUCUCUUAUCUGUUUGUAAUAUUAUUUUGUCACUUUUACUCUUUCAAAGCCAAUGUGGAGCUACGAGUUCGGGUCCUAACCCAACAAGGCCUCGAAUAACACACAAUAUGGCUCUGGCCCAAUUUACUUGGAGUGAGCCCGGCCGAAAUAACCCAAAAUUGUGUUCUAUUACUUGUAGCAACAAGCCCUAAUGGGCUUAGAUAAGUUGAGCC
rnacentral:lncRNA from 1 species